rnacentral:rRNA from 1 species
UAGGGAAUCUUCGGCAAUGGACGAAAGUCUGACCGAGCAACGCCGCGUGAGUGAAGAAGGUUUUCGGAUCGUAAAACUCUGUUGUUAGAGAAGAACAAGGACGUUAGUAACUGAACGUCCCCUGACGGUAUCUAACCAGAAAGCCACGGCUAACUACGUGCCAGCAGCCGCGGUAAUACGUAGGUGGCAAGCGUUGUCCGGAUUUAUUGGGCGUAAAGCGAGCGCAGGCGGUUUCUUAAGUCUGAUGUGAAAGCCCCCGGCUCAACCGGGGAGGGUCAUUGGAAACUGGGAGACUUGAGUGCAGAAGAGGGGAGUGGAAUUCCAUGUGUAGCGGUGAAAUGCGUAGAUAUAUGAAGGAACACCGGUGGCGAAGGCGGCUCUCUGGUCUGUAACUGACGCUGAGGCUCGAAAGCGUGGGGAGCAAACAGG